UACAGAGGGUGCAAGCGUUAAUCGGAAUUACUGGGCGUAAAGCGUGCGUAGACGGUUACAUAAGUCGGGUGUGAAAGCCCCGGGCUCAACCUGGGAAUUGCAUUCGAGACUGCGUAGCUAGGGUGCGGAAGAGGGAAGCGGAAUUUCCGGUGUAGCGGUGAAAUGCGUAGAUAUCGGGAGGAAUACCGAUGGCGAAGGCAGGUCUCUGGGCUGACACUGACGCUCAUGCACGAAAGCGUGGGGAGCAAACAGG
rnacentral:rRNA from 1 species